rnacentral:ncRNA from 2 species
UCUCAGGAAUGUUUUACAGGGUUCCUUGUUUUUUACAAGGAUUUGAGGGAAUCUCGUUAAAAGCGAGAGCGGUCCCGCCGCUGUAACUCCGAUUCUGAGGUUUUAAAACUCGGAAUGAAUGCUUUAUCCAGAAAAGCCACUAUUCAGAUAAUCUGUUUAAACGUUUAGAAAUGGUUUAAACGGCUGUUGAUGGGAAGGCGGAUAAGGUCGGAGAAGCCAGAAAACCUGCCUGUAGAACCUGUAACCU